UUCUCGUCGCUCCUCUUCUUUCUCUCAUGUUCUAGGGUUCUUGGCUCGUAGCCUAGCUUCUUGAUUUGGUAGGGUCCCAUUCAUGAUUCGUAUGCUAGGGUUCGUGGAUCCAAUUUUUCUUUGGGUUAUCUACGGUAGACGGCGUUUGGGCGGGAUUCGCCGCCUUCCGCGAGCUCUGCUAUGCCGUUGUUCUCAUUUUCCUAGCCGGUCUUUGAGUUGCUGUGGUCCUAAGCCUGUCCUACUGCUUCUGCUGUCAGCAGCACACAUUCUUUGGAGCUCUGACUCCAACUUGUGAGGCCUCUCCUUGGCGUUGGUCUGCUGGAGCUGCCGUUCUAGCUAGAGUAUGAACUUGUUGCCUCUGACAUUCCAUUAGAUAUUCAGAUCUCCUUUUCUCACUUUUUAGGCUUCAGAAAUUGUGCUAUAAACAUUCUCAUCCUUGCAGAAAUAGAUUCUACUCUUAGUAUGGAGUAGCAGCAGCGCACUAGCUAGCUUACCAUGAGGUUAACUACACUACUAGUAGCUUGGUUGUUUUCACUCUUUAUUAAUGCUUUCUUCCAUUAGUUCUUUGUGGGUAAAUACCGAGUGAUUGUUGGUUUGUAACUUUGUGUCGUGUCUGAUGAUCUUCGAAGCCGGUGGAAAUAAAAAGUUGAAAUACCCCUGCACUGCAUGGGGUGUUGUUGGUUAGCACUAGCAAUCUAAAUCUGCUGAAUGCUGCAAGCCAUCUUGCUGAGAGAAAGUACAAUUGCAUCACCCUUGAUUCAAUGGAAGAUGAGGCACCCCUAAGUCUGCUACAAGAAUUGGAAGAUGAUAUUUAGCAACAAGAUGAUGAUGUUGUGCACUAAGUAACUCAAGAGAAGAAGAAACUGAAGAUGCAGAUGUAAGUGAGGUGCAAAGAUACUUGAGAGAAAGAAACUCAAACUGACAAAGUUGUGACUGAAAAGAAGAUAAGACUGUCUGCAAUAGCAAAAAGGAGACAGGAAAACAAGAUAGGAAGAGUAGUAAGAGUUCAAGAGUUAGUGCUUGAUGGAGAGGUACAUUGAGAUGAAGAGUAAACAAUCUGAGGAUGAAACCACACCACGCAGUUGACUAGAGAGAAGGAAUGUUCACAAGCUGCAAAUUACUCCAUCAAGAAGUAUGUGUCUAUGUUGAGCACAAUGGAUGUUACCAAGCAAGAGAAGGUUAAGACUUAUUCAGUUCUUAAGAUGCUAGAAAAUAGAGAAAUCUUUUUGUAUGCAUGAGAAGAUGACUUGGUGUCUGCAUCACCAAAGGCAAAAUAGGGUGCAUUUUUGGAUGAAUACGUACUUCAUUUCUGGAUGAUAUGGAUGCGUAAUCAUGCAAAUGUAUUUAUUUAGGAGCUUGUCCCUUUGAAUUUGGCGAGCAAAGAAGCAGUUACAGUGGCGACAGUGUUUCUAUACUACACCAAGUGCAUGAAGAAUGAAUUAUUUAUGUAUUGUCUUUUGGUUGUGGCAAGAUCGAGAACACGUUAUGAUAAAUUUUGUUAAAUUAGAUGUAAUAUGUGCUUUUGCUGAACGGGACCAGGAGAAGCUCAAUGGCUCUCUUUUGGACGUGCGCACUAGUGUCUUUAGCUUCCUAGAAGAAAAUACAAUAUUAACUUAAUUAUGAGAUGAGUACUUGUAACUUAUAAAUAAGAGCUAUCGGUUUAAACUGUAUUUUUGCACGUUGAAAAGUCUUAUGUAGUGGUAUAAGAACUUGUAUCUUAUUUAUGAGAACUGUCAAUUUAAACUUGAAUGUUGCCUGAUUUUA